GAUUCUCAACCCUGCAGUUACUACAGAGGUGACUCUUGCUCACAGCCUGGAGUCUAAGCUCAGGAGGAUGGUCCUUCUAGAAACUAGCUCCCCAAAUCUUCUGUCACUUCACCUGCUCAGACUAUCUAACCCAGCGCCAUUUGCUCGGAAGCAAAGAGGGUAGCUGAGGGUUAUGUGCCGUUUCUGGAAGUAUCUAGAUUACAUCUAAUAAGAAUGUUUUUCUAUGUCUUACACUUUCCCUCUGCAGCAGACGUUUCUACCGGGCCAGUCACAUGACCUCCAGAUACAGCAGGCUGUGUAUGAUAAGGCUGCAGGCUCCAUCCAGAUCAGUCUAACCAAGUGACUCCAUGGGACUUGGACACCUGUCUGGUGAUAUUCUCCUGGCCCCAUCUUUUCACUCAGAGCAUACCCUCUCACCCGCGUGCUUCUGAGUUAAUGUCCCAGGCAGUGUGCCCUGAUAAAGAUCUGGAACUGUGGGAUUAAUGGGGGGUGGCCAGGCCUCCCGGGAGGGCGGCAUUUGGCCUCCAGAGUCCUGGCCUCCAGCCUUGCUGGUGACCUUGUUUGUGGGCGACCUCAAGAGAUCACAGCGUCCUGGAAAUCCCAUUUCUGCAGUCCUCCUUGGAAUGGUGUUCCCUGGCAGUAUUUAGUGCAUCUGUAACAGAUACCUAGUCCUGGGAUGGGGGUGCUUACAGUGUCUGAGCACCAGGGGACUUGGGCUUUCAGGUAAAACCAAAGGAACUUCAUCAAGGACCCCAACAUGAAACCCUGCAUACUACCUUGUCACUACAUGAAUGGCAAAUUAUAGUCAUCAUGAUACUGCAAUCCUGGGGGCCUGCCCUGUGUAUAACACCCCUGACUCCAUUGAGACAGUUGGGAGUAUAGUGUCAGCAAAUUAAGCCAAGCACAUGACUAAGACUAAAUGGGUUGGCCACGUUUAAUUCAUGCAGAUUUGGGGCGGGGCAGGGAACCUAUUGUUUCUUUCCCUCCCAUCUUUGAAUAGGGGGUGCUGACUAACUAAUUUGGGGGAUCCAAAAAACCUGUGUUUGUGGUUGCUAGGGGUAGUGGCUCCCUUCUGGCCAAUGGGAGCUGCCCAUCACGCAGGAUGUGAUUUCGGGUCACUUCUGCAAGUGUAGCCCUCCAGGAAAGCAAGUGCCAGUGUAUGUGGUGGUGGUGUUGGGGGGAGGGGAACAGGUUUUUCUUUACUGCAAUGAAAUCCCAAUUUUCAGAAAGGCUCCCAAGUCCCCUACACAUAACUCCACUAGCAGGAAAUCUCUAAGUGUAUGCGGAGAACACUAAGAAGGACAACAGGGGAGGUUCAGGAGUUCCAUAGAGUGUCCCAUGACUGUCUUCCAGGGGGAACACAUCUCAAUGGUAGUCUCUGGAGGCCAACUUUAAGGGAGGGGACAAGAAGGCGGAACCAAGAAGAGGAAAGAGGGCAUUUCUCUUGUGCGGGGAGCUGUGGAAAACUGGCAGGAACCAGAAGGACACUAUCUCAUCUGUUUUAAUAUGCGAGAGCCCCUACACUGUGACAGAUAAGGCAAUGGCUGGUGCUUAAGACAGGCCAGGAAUGUCCCUCCUCUCCAGUCGAGGGACAGGCUAGUUCCAGCUGAGACACACGCUCCCCCCAGCCCCCAUGACAGAGCAAGGACAGGUACUAAUAAAUGAGAAGAACUUUGGGAGCCUCUGUGUGUCCUCGGUGGGCAACGACUGGGAUCCUUGGGGGUGCCCCUCCUCCAUCAAACUGGGCGGGGGUGUCAGGAUCACCUGAAAAGGCGGCCAAGGGUGACCCAAGCCCUGAUCCCCUGUGGGACAACGAGGAGCUUAACUAGCCCCGGGCUGCAUGAAAGAGGAAGGGAGGCCAGAGAACAAAGCUGUGCCAAUUUGCUCUUUGGGGCAUUGUGCAAACUGGCCCCUUUCCCAGCGUAUCACUCUCCCAUUGAACAAGGUCAAGCGCCGCCACAGUCCUUCCGCAGCCCUGAUGGGUUUUCAGGAGCUGGUGAAUGGCGUGCAAAUUAGCCAAGUCCUCGGGAGCCUCGUUACUGUCACUCCCAAACCGAAGCUCCAGAGGCAACGUGAGGAUUAAUCAAUCCAGAAAGCUCGCCCAUUAUCAAAGCAAGGUGGAAGACACACCUACACUUCGACUGACAGUUCAACCCUGACACGUGUCAACGUAUGGCAGAACACCUCGAGGUUGGCAGCCCUGAACCCACACCAGCAAGUGACCAGUGAGCAAGCAAACAUGGUGUCUAGUGAGCAGUUACGGCAUAUACAGUCCAUGAGGAACUGGAGAAACACCGCGUUAAGGGAUUCGGAAUAAUCUCUGAAAUGAACAGACAGGCCAAUAUCCAGCGACUCUAUAAAUAUAAAUCUAAUGAGUUCGUAGCUAAAGAAUGAGUCAGCAAAUUUAUCUACUAAAUAAAGAUGAGCGAGUGAGUAAAUA
rnacentral:sRNA from 1 species